rnacentral:rRNA from 1 species
UAAUACGUAUGGGGCAAGCGUUAUCCGGAUUUAUUGGGCGUAAAGCGCGCGUAGGCGGAUCGUUAAGUCAGAUGUGAAAUCCGGGGGCUCAACCCGCGGCCUGCAUCUGAAACUGGCGGUCUUGAGUCUGGUAGAGGAAAGUGGAAUUCCUAGUGUAGCGGUGAAAUGCGCAGAUAUUAGGAGGAACACCAGUGGCGAAGGCGGCUUUCUGGGCCACGACUGACGCUGAGGCGCGAAAGCUAGGGGAGCAAACAGG